AUUGAACGCUGGCGGCAUGCCUUACACAUGCAAGUCGAACGGCAGCACGGGUGCUUGCACCUGGUGGCGAGUGGCGAACGGGUGAGUAAUACAUCGGAACGUACCUUAUCGUGGGGGAUAACGCAGCGAAAGCUGUGCUAAUACCGCAUACGCCCUGAGGGGGAAAGCGGGGGAUCGCAAGGCCUCGCGCGAUUAGAGCGGCCGAUGCCUGAUUAGCUUGUUGGUGGGGUAAAAGCCCACCAAGGCGAUGAUCAGUAGCUGGUCUGAGAGGACGAUCAGCCACACUGGGACUGAGACACGGCCCAGACUCCUACGGGAGGCAGCAGUGGGGAAUUUUGGACAAUGGGGGCAACCCUGAUCCAGCAAUGCCGCGUGAGUGAAGAAGGCCUUCGGGUUGUAAAGCUCUUUUGUCAGGGAAGAAACACCGGCUCUAACACAGUCCGGGAAUGACGGUACCUGAAGAAUAAGCACCGGCUAACUACGUGCCAGCCGCCGCAGUAA
rnacentral:rRNA from 1 species